rnacentral:rRNA from 1 species
GAUGAACGCUAGCGGCAGGCUUAACACAUGCAAGUCGAGGGGUAUAGGUUUUCGGACCUAGAGACCGGCGCACGGGUGCGUAACGCGUAUGCAAUCUACCUUUCACAGAGGGAUAGCCCAGAGAAAUUUGGAUUAAUACCUCAUAGUAUAGCAGUUUCGCAUGAAACCACUAUUAAAGUUCCAACGGUGAAAGAUGAGCAUGCGUCCCAUUAGCCAGAUGGUAAGGUAACGGCUUACCAUGGCUACGAUGGGUAGGGGUCCUGAGAGGGAGAUCCCCCACACUGGUACUGAAACACGGACCAGACUCCUCCGGGAGGCAGCAGUGAGGAAUAUUGGUCAAUGGACGAAAGUCUGAACCAGCCAUGCCGCGUGCAGGAUGACGGUCCUAUGGAUUGUAAACUGCUUUUGUACGAGAAGAAACAUUCUGACGUGUCGGAACUUGACGGUAUCGUAAGAAUAAGGAUCGGCUAACUCCGUGCCAGCCGCCGCCGUAACAC